GUGCCAGCCGCCGCGGUAAUACGUGGGUGGCAAGCGUUAUCCGGAAUUAUUGGGCGUAAAGCGCGCGUAGGCGGUUUUUUAAGUCUGAUGUGAAAGCCCACGGCUCAACCGUGGAGGGUCAUUGGAAACUGGAAAACUUGAGUGCAGAAGAGGAAAGUGGAAUUCCAUGUGUAGCGGUGAAAUGCGCAGAGAUAUGGAGGAACACCAGUGGCGAAGGCGACUUUCUGGUCUGUAACUGACGCUGAUGUGCGAAAGCGUGGGGAUCAAACAGGAUUAGAU
rnacentral:rRNA from 1 species